CGUAACGUCAACACUGCUGUCAAUCAUAUAAGUACAUUUUGUGUACUUGAGUGUUUUAAACUGUGAUUCUGUCCGUUUCUCACAUAAUACACUUUUUUAAAAACACCUCUUUCAGCUCCAGUGAUGACAAACUAAAGGAUCCAAAGUUCUGCCGGAUGUCAGAUGAGGAAUCGAGACUCAUUCCUGACUCGUCCGGUUUGUUGUGGAGGAACUGAAGGCAGCAGACGGCGAUGCGACUCCCAAACUCAGUCUUCACAAAGGUGAUCCAUCCGUCCACCUGUCCAUCCGUUCGUCACCUAACGUGUUUGUGUCGGAUCAUCAGCGUCAUCUGAUUAUCGUCCUUGUGGAACAGAAGAAAAUCUUCCCAAACCGGUCCAUCAGAACUUCACCUAAUGUGGUUGCAACAUCGAGUGCAGGCGACCCGAACAGCAAGGACGACUCAGCAGAACUGUGACAAAGACGUGAACUGUGUGUCGGCGAUGACGCCAGAGGAUCCAGUAGAUCUACAGCUGCACCUUGUCCGACCUGGUUUGCUCCGGCACGGUACCGCUGAUGGCUGACUGGUCGGUUCAUGCACGAGCAAGUGUGGACACGAAGUAUAAUCAUGUGUAUCACAGAGAGCGAGGACGUCUACGACCAGAACAACAUGAAAUAAACCACAUAAAAGUCAGUAAAGUCAAGUUCUCUGUGUUCUCCAUUGUUCUGCGACCUGAUGACGUACGUACGGGAGGUAACCGAGCUCGGGCCGGGUCGCGGUCAGAACACUGUGAGUUGCAGGUCAGCGGCUGGACUAA